rnacentral:rRNA from 1 species
CAGCAGCCGCGGUAAUACGAAGGGUGCAAGCGUUAAUCGGAAUUACUCGGCAUAAAGCGUGCGUAGGCGGUGAGUUAAGUCUGCUGUGAAAUCCCCGGGCUCAACCUGGGAAUGGCAGUGGAUACUGGCUCGCUAGAGUGUGUCAGAGGAUGGUGGAAUUCCCGGUGUAGCGGUGAAAUGCGUAGAGAUCGGGAGGAACAUCAGUGGCGAAGGCGGCCAUCUGGGACAACACUGACGCUGAGGCACGAAAGCGUGGGGAGCAAACAGGAUUAGAUACCCCAGUAGUCCCUGUCUCUUAUAC